ACGAACGCUGGCGGCGUGCCUCAUGCAUGCAAGUAGAACGCUGAAGAGAGGAGCUUGCUCUUCUUGGAUGAGUUGCGAACGGGUGAGUAACGCGUAGGUAACCUGCCUUGUAGCGGGGGAUAACUAUUGGAAACGAUAGCUAAUACCGCAUAACAAUGGAUGACACAUGUCAUUUAUUUGAAAGGGGCAAUUGUUCCACUACAAGAUGGACCUGCGUUGUAUUAGCUAGUAGGUGAGGUAAUGGCUCACCUAGGCGACGAUACAUAGCCGACCUGAGAGGGUGAUCGGCCACACUGGGACUGAGACACGGCCCAGACUCCUACGGGAGGCAGCAGUAGGGAAUCUUCGGCAAUGGGGGCAACCCUGACCGAGCAACGCCGCGUGAGUGAAGAAGGUUUUCGGAUCGUAAAGCUCUGUUGUAAGUCAAGAACGGGUGUGAGAGUGGAAAGUUCACACUGUGACGGUAGCUUACCAGAAAGGGACGGCUAACUACGUG
rnacentral:rRNA from 1 species